rnacentral:rRNA from 1 species
GACGAACGCUGGCGGCGUGCUUAACACAUGCAAGUCGAACGAAGAGCGAUGGAAGCUUGCUUCUAUCAAUCUUAGUGGCGAACGGGUGAGUAACGCGUAAUCAACCUGCCCUUCAGAGGGGGACAACAGUUGGAAACGACUGCUAAUACCGCAUACGAUCUAACCUCGGCAUCGAGGAUAGAUGAAAGGUGGCCUCUAUUUAUAAGCUAUCACUGAAGGAGGGGAUUGCGUCUGAUUAGCUAGUUGGAGGGGUAACGGCCCACCAAGGCGAUGAUCAGUAGCCGGUCUGAGAGGAUGAACGGCCACAUUGGGACUGAGACACGGCCCAGACUCCUACGGGAGGCAGCAGUGGGGAAUCUUCCGCAAUGGACGAAAGUCUGACGGAGCAACGCCGCGUGAGUGAUGACGGCCUUCGGGUUGUAAAGCUCUGUUAAUCGGGACGAAAGGCCUUCUUGCGAAUAGUUAGAAGGAUUGACGGUACCGGAAUAGAAAGCCACGGCUA